rnacentral:pre_miRNA from 1 species
AGUGGGAUAACUGGGUCAAAUGGUGGUUCUAUUCCAAGUUUUCUGAGGAAUCUCCAUACUGCUUUCCAGAAUGGUUAAACUAAUUUGCAGUCCCACCAGCAAU